UCAAGUGGCCGAGUGGUAACGCUCGUGACUUUGAUUCAUCAGGUCGUGGGUUCGAGGUCCCCAUGGUCUGAG